AUUUCCAACAUGAAGAUCCUCUAGGUUGAAAAAUCCCUUCUCAAAAGCAUCUGUGUGAUCAAUAUAAGGAUUGGGAUCAUGAGUUUUAAUUUUGUAAUUAUAUUUAGGUUUUUUGACUUCACGACUACCCCAAGGGAGCCAAGGAUUAGGAUUACGGGUAUAAACUUCUGAAUUGAAAUUAUGUUUUUUGGUUUCACGACUACCCCAAGGACGCCAAGGAUUAGGAUCACGUGUAUUAACUUCAGAAUCAUAAUUAAGUUUGUUUAUUUCACGACUACCCCAAGGGAGCCAAGGAUUAGGAUCACGGGGAUUAACUUCAGAAUUGUAAUUAGAUUUUUUGGUUUCACGACUACCCCAAGGGAGCCAAGGAUUAGGAUCAUGUGUAUCAGCUUCAGAAUUGUAAUUACGUUUUUUGGUUUCACGACUACCCCAAGGGAGCCAAGGAUUAAGAUCACGGGUAUUAACUUCAUUAUUGUAAAUAGGUUUUAUGGUUUCACGACUACCCCAAGGGAGCCAAGGAUUAGGAUCACGGGUAUUAACUCUAGAAGUUGUAAGUAAGUAGUCUUUUGGUUUCCCGACUACCCCAAGGGAGCAAGGAUUAAGAUCACGGGUAUUAACUUCAGAAUUGUAAAUAGGUUUUUUGUUUCACGACUACCCCAAGGGAGCCAAGGAUUAAGAUCACGGGUAUUAAUUCAUUAUUGUAAAUAGGUUUUAUGGUUUCACGACUACCCCAAGGGAGCCAAGGAUUAGGAUCACGGGUAUUAACUUCAGAAUUGUAAAUAGGUCUUUUGGUUUCCGACUACCCAAGGGAGCCAAGGAUUAGGAUCACGGGUAUUAACUUCAGAAUUGUAAAUAGGUUUUUGAUUUCACGACUACCCCAAGGGAGCCAAGGAUUAAGAUCACGGGUAUUAACUUCAUUAUUGUAAAUAGGUUUUAUGGUUUCAGCGACUACCCAAGGAGCCAAGGAUUAGGAUCACGGUAUUAACUUCAGAAUUGUAAAUGGUCUUUUGGUUUCCCGACUACCCAAGGGAGCAAGGAUUAGAUCACGGUAUUAACUUCAGAAUUGUAAAUAGGUUUUUGAUUUCACGACUACCCCAAGG
rnacentral:lncRNA from 1 species